UAUAAAUAACCAAUCGAACAACAGUCACGGUCUUCUUGGAGACGGUGCCAUCUUGUAGAGACACCCCUCCACAACAUGAGGGCCAAGUGGAGAAAGAAGCGUAUGCGCAGGCUGAAGCGCAAGAGGCGGAAGAUGAGGCAGAGGUCAAAAUAGACUGCCCCCUUACAAAACCAUGUCUGUGACCUUUCUCAUGGACACAACACGGGACCAAGGAUUUCCCAAGAACUCAAGUCUGAAACAAGACACAGGCCAACAAGAGGCUACGAAGAGAUGGUGCUACUGUUGGUCAACCACCUGCCUGGGAGAUUUGAUAUGGGGACAUUCUGUAUUCUUUACUCUUCUACAAAACCAUCCCUACUCCAUUGCUUUUGUUUAUAUUUUCAAAGUUUUUGGUUUAAAAUUAAAUUGACUCAAUAUUGUUUUGAAACUGGGUCUAAAAAUGUUAAGAGGUCAUUAUUUUUCAUUAUGCCCAAUCAAGUUCAGUUGCAAAGAUUUGUAAUGCUAACCUAAGGGGUAUCGUACGGAGCAGGUUCAAGUCAACUUUGAACUCGGGAUAACCAGUCAUACUGAAGUGGCUCACCUUUUUAGCUUGGGCAAUGAAUUCUAAAACUAACCUGCUCCAGGUCUCGCUAACUAAUUGCACAGAGUGAUUGAACUGUGGGUGGAGGCCUAAUCUGAUUACCCUCUUGCAAAGACUCAUUUAAGGAAGACUGAUUAAAUGUUUUAUGACAGAAUGCAUGUGAAACUAAAUGCAACACUGACUUACAAAUAAAUAUUGGGGGGAUGCUUGUG